UGUUAAAAAUUUUAUUCAUUUUUAUGGCUAAAAAUUGGCGUGAUUGACGGAGUAACCAGACAGUUACACGACUUUAUCCUGAUGUACAAUGACUAGGUUUUAAUAGUAGAAAUGGAUAAAUUUUUUUACA
rfam:Gossypium hirsutum cultivar TM-1 chromosome 9, whole genome shotgun sequence